GUGAAUCAUCGAAUCUUUGAACGCACAUUGCGCCCCUUGGUAUUCCGAGGGGCAUGCCUGUUCGAGCGUCAUUAUAACCACUCAAGCCUGGCUUGGUAUUGGGGUUUUCGCGUGUUCGCGGCCCUUAAAAUCAGUGGCGGUGCCGUCUGGCUCUAAGCGUAGUAAUUUCUCUCGCUAUAGGGUUCCGGUGGUUACUUGCCAAAACCCCCCCAUUUUUCUAGGUUGACCUCGGAUCAGGUAGGGAUACCCGCUGAACUUAAGCAUAUCAAUAAGCGGAGGA
rnacentral:misc_RNA from 1 species